rnacentral:rRNA from 1 species
UUAAUCACCAAAAAUGCGUUAUAUAAAAACGGAAUAUGAUCAUUAAACUCCGCAUCAUUAUUCAUAAAUAUUGGAUUAUAUAUUUGACCUUGCUCCCAAUAUUUAAUCAUUUUAUGGAAUGAUCUCUUUCAAAUAUUUUGUGUUUGAUUACUAACACUCUAACUACAUGAUUUUUAUGUUUAAUUAUUUUAUUGUUUUAUUUGUGUUAACGCUGAAGCAUCAAUAUUUAAAUGUGCAAUGUCCUUCGUUAUAGUUUUGGUUCAUCCGCUUAUUUUUUAUCUUUAAUAUGAUAUUGUUAUUAAUAAUUAUGAAGGCUAUCACAAAAAUGAUGGAGAGCCAUGUCUAUCUAAAUAGAAAUGUGUAUUUUAAAAAUCAAAAAAAGAAGAGUUGUCAUCAAUAUUUGAAUAUUAGUUGUACCCAAGUAUGCACAACUAUUUAAUCGGUUUUUUAUGAAAUAACGGGUGAGCCAUAAUGCGGUGUAAAAUUCCUAAAACUGACUUAUUAGUGACAUUUGAAGCGGUUGCUCAAUAUGAAAGCUACACGCGAGCGGCAGAAAAGUUAGCAUUAACACAAAGUGCUGUUUUUCGUCAAAUCACAGCACUGGAGGAGCUACUUAAUGUGUCAUUAUUCCACCAUGUUCGUAAACGAAUUUUCCUCAAUGAUGCGGGUCGUUAUUAUCUUGGCUUAGUCAGAGAUACAUUGGAGCAACUGGAAAGGGAUACGCAAAGCAUUAUGUCUUACCAGUCGACUCAGCAAGUGUUGGAGUUGGCGGUGACGCCAACAUUUAGCACUCAUUGGCUCAUUCCAAACCUCAGUGACUUCCACGAGAAGCAUCCUGAAAUUGUCCUCAAUUUAGUGGCGCUGACUACACCUGCUGAUUUUCUGAAUCUGAAAUAUGAUGCGGCAAUUAUGCGUGAGGAUUUCUGUAGCCCGUGGGCUGAAAAUGAGCAUUUGUUUGAAGAAGAACUGGUUCCUGUAUGUAGCCGGAUGUUAUGGCGAGAUGAUAAAAAAGUGAUGCGUGCGGAGCAGUUGAUGGAUGAAUUUACGUUGCUUCAUCAAACAACUCGUUUAGAUUCGUGGCAUGACUGGUUUACAUUGUCGGGCGUUAAUAGUCCUAAAGUACGGAUGGGGCCGCGUUUUGAUCUUUUAUCAAUGUUGAUUUCUGCUGUGCGUUCCAAUCUUGGUGUGGCUUUAUUACCUCGGUUUGCGAUUCACAAGGAUUUGGAAAAUGGCGAUAUGGUCAUUCCAUGUGAUUUACCCAUGAGCACUGGGAACCACUUUGUACUGACCUACAAAGAAGGUAAAAGAGGGCUGAUAAGUUUGCAGAAAUUAAGUCGUUGGCUCCAUGAUAAAUCGAAGGAAGAAGAGCUAAAAAGAACAUGGGGUAAUUGAUUUUGUUAAAUUGACGGGUACGGUUCCAUACUAUUUUUUAAAAUAUAAUCUAUAUAUUAGGUAUGACACUCAAUUAGUGUCAUGUUCUAACAUUAUGGUAAUAAUUGAGUUUUCGUAUUUUACUAUAUUAUUAUAGCGCAGCCAUUUUGGUAUGUGCAUGUUUCUAAUGGAUUAUUACCUUGGUCUUUCCCUCAUUUUUACUGUGACAAUUGAGGGGGAGUUAAUCACCAAUAAGCAUUAUGUGUUGCAGAUAGAACAAUUGCUUUUUAUUUUACUCUAUUAAUAAUAGCACUGUGACAUAGGCAGUUUGCUGAGGUUGUUUUUAUUCUUUGAUUUUUAGAUGCAAAGGGUCAGCGAUAUUUUCUUACUAUUUCCCAUUCAGCUAAUCGAGUGAAAAUAAUGUAUAAAAAUGAUUUUUUCUACCAAGAUCUCUUCCCUCUUUCUGAGGACAGCACAGAAUAUUAUUUAUUAACAGAUAAGUAUGUUUCCACUAUUGAGGUUGAUGGCAACGAAGUAUUAAAAGUUGAACCUGAAGCACUGAUAUUAGUCUCCCAGCAAGCUUUCCAUGACGCUUCAUUCUUCCUGCGCCCAGCACAUCAGCAGCAAGUUGCCGCUAUUUUGCAUGAUCCACAGGCGAGCGAAAACGACAAAUAUGUUGCACUGCAAUUAUUGAGAAAUUCUGAGAUUUCAGCUAAAGGUAUUUUGCCGAACUGCCAGGAUACGGGGACAUCCACCAUUGUGGCGAAAAAAGGCCAACGGGUUUGGACUGAUACCGAUGAUGCCCAAGCACUAUCACGCGGCAUCUAUAACACCUUCCGUCAGGAUAAUCUGCGCUACUCGCAAAAUGCGGCGUUAGAUAUGUAUAACGAAGUGAAUACCGGUACCAAUCUUCCUGGGCAAAUCGAUAUUUUUGCUACUUCGGGUAUGCAAUAUUCGUUCUUAUUUGUGAAUAAGGGCGGCGGUUCAGCCAAUAAAGCGGCGCUUUAUCAGGAAACAAAAGCGGUGUUGGAACCGGCAAAGCUCAAAGCAUUUUUAAUUGAGAAAAUGAAGAGCCUGGGAACGGCUGCCUGUCCCCCUUAUCAUAUUGCUUUUGUCGUCGGAGGCACCUCCGCUGAAUUAACCUUGAAGACCGCCAAACUCGCCUCGACAAAAUAUUACGAUAACUUACCUGGUGAGGGUAAUGCACACGGCCAGGCUUUCCGUGAUAAGGCACUGGAGGACGACCUGCUACAGGCUUCACGCGAAUUUGGCUUAGGCGCUCAGUUUGGUGGCAAAUAUUUCGCUCAUGAUGUUCGGGUUAUUCGCUUGCCGCGUCAUGGUGGCUCUUGCCCGAUAGGGAUGGCUAUUUCAUGUUCUUCUGACCGAAAUAUUAAAGCCAAAAUUAAUAAAAAGGGUAUAUGGCUGGAGAAAUUAGAACGUCACCCUGAGCGAUAUAUUCCUGAAGAUUUGCGGAUUAAUAAUGAAGGGACCGUCGUUAACAUUGAUCUUAACCGCCCGAUGGAUGAAAUUCGUCAACAGCUUUCACUUUACCCAGUAUCCACCCGCGUAUCACUCAAUGGCCCGUUGAUUGUUGCCCGCGAUAUUGUGCAUGCCAAACUGCAACAGCGUUUGGAACAGAAUCAACCAUUACCUCAAUACAUGAAAGAUCACCCCGUCUAUUAUGCGGGACCUGCAAAAAAACCGGAUGAAUUGGUGUCCGGCUCGAUGGGACCAACGACUGGAGGGCGCAUGGAUCCUUAUGUCGAUCUGUUCCAAUCCCAGGGGGGCAGCUUAAUCAUGUUGGCAAAAGGCAAUCGUAGCCAGCAGGUUACCGAAUCAUGCCAUAAACACGGUGGUUUCUAUUUGGGCAGUAUCGGCGGUUCUGCGGCCAUUCUGGCGCAGGAGUAUAUCGAAAGCUUGGAAUGCCUCGAGUAUCCCGAACUGGGAAUGGAAGCGGUGUGGAAGAUGGAAGUCAGGAAUUUUCCGGCUUUCAUAUUAGUUGAUGACAAAGGCAACUCAUUCUUUGAUCAAAUUCAAAUGAAGGCCUGUGCUGGCUGUCAGAAAUAACGUUGUGUUGAGGAAACCACGAUGCAUGAAGAACGGUAUCAGCAGCGGCAGCAGCAUCUUAAACAACAAGUAGAGGAGCGGGUUGCUGCCGCGACAAAAAGCGGCGGGAUCAUUAUGGUAUUUACCGGUAAUGGUAAAGGGAAAAGUACCGCCGCAUUUGGAACCGCAACCAGAGCCGUUGGCCAUGAUAUGCGAGUAGGUGCGCUUCAGUUUAUCAAGGGGGACUGGGAGUGUGGUGAACGUAAUUUGCUAGAACGUAAUGGGGUUGAGUUUCAUAUCAUGGCAACCGGCUUUACCUGGGAUACUCAAGAUAAAGCGGCUGAUACCCAAGCAGCCAGGCUGGUGUGGGAGCAGGGCGUGCGGAUGUUAUCUGACCCUGGUUACCAUCUUGUGGUUUUGGAUGAGCUCACUUAUAUGCUCACUUACGGUUAUUUGAGCUUGGACGAGGUGUUGGCGGCGCUAAAAAAUCGGCCGGCACAUCAAAGUGUGGUCAUCACCGGGCGAGCCUGCCACCGGGAAAUUAUUGCACUGGCAGAUACAGUCAGUGAGUUACGGCCAGUGAAGCAUGCAUUUGAUCAUGGCAUUAAGGCGCAGAAAGGUAUUGAUUGGUGAUGGAAGCCUGAUUAUCAGGACUCAUGCGCUUACUUAUUCAUCAAUCUGUUGUUUUAUGAAGCGAAAUACAAAUAAUUUGUUGAUAACGCUUGAUUGUUUGUUCUGAGUUAUACUAUAUUUCGCGCCAAGGAAACGUACUAACGUUCCAAAAAAUUUCGCCGGCAUAGCUCAGUUGGUAGAGCAACUGACUUGUAAUCAGUAGGUCCCGAGUUCGACUCUUGGUGCCGGCACCAAUUAAAAACCCGUUAUCUGAAUAAGAUAACGGGUUUUUNCGGCGCCGAAGCCAGUCGCAGAUACCAGCUGGCUGCAACUGUUUAAUAAAAACACAGCACUGUGCAAACACGAAAGUGGACGUAUACGGUGUGACGCCUGCCCGGUGCUGGAAGGUUAAUUGAUGGGGUCAGCCGCAAGGCGAAGCUCUUGAUCGAAGCCCCAGUAAACGGCGGCCGUAACUAUAACGGUCCUAAGGUAGCGAAAUUCCUUGUCGGGUAAGUUCCGACCUGCACGAAUGGCGUAAUGAUGGCCAGGCUGUCUCCACCCGAGACUCAGUGAAAUUGAACUCGCUGUGAAGAUGCAGUGUACCCGCGGCAAGACGGAAAGACCCCGUGAACCUUUACUAUAGCUUGACACUGAACAUUGAGCCUUGAUGUGUAGGAUAGGUGGGAGGCAUUGAAGUGUGGACGCCAGUCUGCAUGGAGCCAACCUUGAAAUACCACCCUUUAAUGUUUGAUGUUCUAACUCGGCCCCGUGAUCCGGGGUGAGGACAGUGUCUGGUGGGUAGUUUGACUGGGGCGGUCUCCUCCCAAAGAGUAACGGAGGAGCACGAAGGUUAGCUAAUCACGGUCGGACAUCGUGAGGUUAGUGCAAAGGCAUAAGCUAGCUUGACUGCGAGAGUGACGGCUCGAGCAGGUACGAAAGUAGGUCUUAGUGAUCCGGUGGUUCUGAAUGGAAGGGCCAUCGCUCAACGGAUAAAAGGUACUCCGGGGAUAACAGGCUGAUACCGCCCAAGAGUUCAUAUCGACGGCGGUGUUUGGCACCUCGAUGUCGGCUCAUCACAUCCUGGGGCUGAAGUAGGUCCCAAGGGUAUGGCUGUUCGCCAUUUAAAGUGGUACGCGAGCUGGGUUUAGAACGUCGUGAGACAGUUCGGUCCCUAUCUGCCGUGGGCGUUGGAAGAUUGAGAGGGGCUGCUCCUAGUACGAGAGGACCGGAGUGGACGAAUCACUGGUGUUCGGGUUGUCAUGCCAAUGGCAUUGCCCGGUAGCUAAAUUCGGAAGAGAUAACCGCUGAAAGCAUCUAAGCGGGAAACUUGCCUCGAGAUGAGUCUUCCCUGGGGCUUUAAGCCCCCUGAAGGAACGUUAAAGACUAUGACGUUGAUAGGCUGGGUGUGUAAGUGCAGCGAUGUAUUGAGCUAACCAGUACUAAUGAUCCGUGAGGCUUAACCUU